UUUGAUUCAUUAUUGUUUUUUUCCAAUAUAUAAUUUUUAACUUAAUUUCACUGAUAUUGAAAUUUAAUGAAUUUCAUUUAAAGGUGUAUCAUUUUUUUGUAAUUGCAUAUUAUUAUAUUAAAAUAAAUAAUACCCCUUCUUAUACAGGGACAGAAAUAACAUUGUUGUUGACUCAAUAUUUUUUAAAUAAUUAUCAUAGUUCAAUUUUUAAUGGAAGAUACAUUAUAUGUUCUUUUUACCUAUGCUAAAGUAUGGUAGGCAUAAUGUUGGAAUAAGUAAUCGUAAGUAGUGAAUUGUUAUGUUCUAAAAUUCUGUUAAAAUAUUUUUAUUAUUAUUGAUAACAUUAUUUCUUAUUGUGUUUUAGUCUAAUCAUAUUAAAGUGAAAUCUCUAUUUAUUUAUAUCUUCUUAUAAACUAAUCUUUAUAGCAGACAGUUUUUUAUCUAGAUAAAUGUAUUGAUGAAAACUAACUUCUUAACUAUAUAUUUGUUUUAAUAAAGGACUUUCUUUGUUCUUAUUGAGUUGCUUUGUAGAGGUUUCACUGAUUCAAUAGAUGACUGGUUAUUAAUUGUGGGUACAAGAUAUUAUGUUAGGCAUUUAAUGCAGACUAACAUUAUUGAGACUCCUAUCAACAGCAUAGAACUUAGGUCCCCAGUUCAAAGAUAGUAAGUGUUUUAGGUAGGUCUGAAAAUUUCAAAUUAUGUUAAUGUGUGUAACAAAUAUA